UCGAAGGUUGCAACGCAUGGAACGGCCGAUGGGCAGCGUUGUUUAACUUCAAGACCAUGUGCUGCUGAAAGCUUUCUGAAAGCAACAGGACAAAAAAUAAGGGAUGUGGGCCUUGGAAAGACCAGCUGAUGGAAAAAAAAUCAACGUCUGUGUUGCACGGAACGCCAUUGUGACAGUCCGCAUCACCAUUUGGCCUGUUGUGGGAUCCCACAAGACACGCUCUAUUCCUCGGUUAAUUACUGAACUUCUGCAAGCCCCAUGGAAGCCAACUGUGAUCCGCAUCGAAUGGAACAAAUUCAUUGUUCCGGCCUUCAUAAUUAAUGUUUAAGCUGAAGUUAGAAACGGAGCUGAAACAGCGUAUAUUCUGUAAGAAUUUACCACUGCAGUCCAUCGGGUGGCCACACCCGACGGUAUGCUACUGUCUAGAACACUGCUAGUCUACUGUCUAGAACACGGAUGGCGUUUUAUUCUUGAAUAGCUUUGUCAGUAGUGCUACUGCUUGUGUUUGUAGGAUCAGAGUCCAUUAUCUUUUUGCAAUCCUAUCAGAACACAAAAAGACGAGGAUAAGGUUAAUUUAUUGU